AAUAUUGAAGACUGAAUGAUCAGAUUUCUGGAAUACUGUUUCUGUCCUGACAGUUGAUACUCCUUGUGGUUUGGGCAGAGGCCCCUACAUAUCUGGCCCACUGCCUGCAUAUGGAAAAUUACAACUGAGACCUACCCUUUGGGAAUGCAAAGACAUAAGAAGACACGGCUUUUAUGAAGUAGGAGUGAAAAAUUAUGAAGAAAGAGCAGGUAGCAAUGGAAGGAGAGCAGAAUGAAAUAAAGAACUAUUGUGAGGAAUGCAAGGACACAUGGUGAUGUGAUGAAAACAAGACCAGCAUUGGUCACACAACAUCUAAAAGUUAUUGAUGUUGCCAAGAAAAGAGCAAAGGCAAUUGGAACAGAUGCAAGAAGCAAAGCUAUCAUCUUUCAUCAUAGAUGAGAGAUGUGUAAUUACCAGGUUCUCAAAUCCAUGAAGCUUUGCCCGAACACUAUUUGUUCAGUAAUGGAGUGAGAGCUUACUGUGUAACAGACUCUGUGUUGUGGGCCAAGAUAAAACGGUCAUCUCUCUCCUGUGGUCCCUUCCACACCCAGUCCCCAACUCUCCCAUGCCACCUACAACAUUCUGCUGUUUGUAGUCAUUAACGUAUCUGCCCCUGCAACAGAAAUGUGUGGUCCUAGAGGACAGGAUGGUAACUUGCCCACGUCUCUAUAUUCUCAGAAUCUAAUACACAAAAAGUUUCUUGAAUGAAUAAUGAAGUGCAUGAAUAAAACAUCACCAGAUUGACCAACA